rnacentral:rRNA from 1 species
UACAGAGGGGGCAAGCGUUGUUCGGAAUUACUGGGCGUAAAGGGCGCGUAGGCGGCCUUCUAAGUCGAACGUGAAAUCCCCGGGCUCAACCCGGGAACUGCGUCCGAUACUGGAAGGCUUGAAUCCGGGAGAGGGAUGCGGAAUUCCAGGUGUAGCGGUGAAAUGCGUAGAUAUCAGGAAGAACACCGAUGGCGAAGGCAGUUCUCUGGGACGGUACUGACGCUGAGACGCGAAAGCGUGGGGAGCGAACAGG